UCAAUCAGAUCCAGAUUGAUUCCUCUCCCACCCCCUAAUUAGGCCAGGUGCACCAUAUAUAGCUAUGCUCUCUAUGGCUCACUGUUAGGAUCACAUUGGCACCUUCAUACACGGCACACCGCUCAUCCUGCGCUGUGGAGAAAACCACAUUGUCUGCUUGCUGUUGCUACUUUUACACCAGCAGCAUUCUGAUCCAACAUUGUGAUCCAUGCCUAGGAAGCCUGCGAAUUUGUUUUCAAAUUCUCCAACAUCUCUCUACAUUUUAAAGGCUUUUUUAAGUUUUCCUUCCCAUCACCUCCAAUCUCCCCCAUCCCUCCCGGGCUUUCGCACGGUCCUUCCACCACCCGCCCUACCUAUUUUGGGGGUGACCUCUUGUGGUGUCGAGCGAGGCGCUCCACACGGCGUGGCUGGCUGCCACACUCCCUGGGAUGGGGGGCGCUCUUGGGUGGGCCAUUUGAUCUAAGCGUCCGGCCCGCAGGACUCACCUGUGACACCGCAUCAAGCUACACAAAAUUUCUCUGAAGAAGACCUUUAACAGGUCAAAACGUUCGUUAGAAUUGUUUAUAUUAUGAUGCAUAUUUUUGAUCGUAUAAACACCAUUUGUGUACCGUUUUAUACAUUCAUGUAAACGCUGUUUGUGUACCUGCUAUAACUCAUGUUCCAUCCAUUGCGCCAUCCCUCCUUGUUCCCAUUUUUUACAUGUGAAUCAAAUAAAAUAUAUAUUUUUUACUACA